UACGGGGGGAGCAAGCGUUGUUCGGAUUUACUGGGCGUAAAGGGCGCGUAGGCGGUCGUGACAAGUCACUUGUGAAAUCUCCGGGCUUAACUCGGAACGGUCAAGUGAUACUGUCGGACUAGAGUACAGAAGGGGCAACUGGAAUUCUCGGGUGUAGCGGUGAAAUGCGUAGAUAUCGAGAGGAACACCUGCGGCGAAGGCGGGUUGCUGGGCUGAUACUGACGCUGAUGCGCGAAAGCCAGGGGAGCGAACGGG
rnacentral:rRNA from 1 species